rnacentral:rRNA from 1 species
CCUACGGGAGGCAGCAGUGGGGAAUAUUGGACAAUGGGCGCAAGCCUGAUCCAGCAAUGCCGCGUGAGUGAUGAAGGCCUUAGGGUCGUAAAGCUCUUUUACCAGGGAUGAUAAUGACAGUACCUGGAGAAUAAGCUCCGGCUAACUCCGUGCCAGCAGCCGCGGUAAUACGGAGGGAGCUAGCGUUGUUCGGAAUUACUGGGCGUAAAGCGUACGUAGGCGGUUAUUCAAGUCAGAGGUGAAAGCCCGGGGCUCAACCCCGGAACGGCCUUUGAAACUAGGUAGCUAGAAUCUUGGAGAGGUCAGUGGAAUUCCGAGUGUAGAGGUGAAAUUCGUAGAUAUUCGGAAGAACACCAGUGGCGAAGGCGACUGACUGGACAAGUAUUGACGCUGAGGUACGAAAGCGUGGGGAGCAAACAGGAUUAGAUACCCUGGUAGUCCACGCCGUAAACGAUGAUAACUAGCUGUCCGGGCACUUGGUGCCUGGGUGGCGCAGCUAACGCAUUAAGUUAUCCGCCUGGGGAGUACGGUCGCAAGAUUAAAACUCAAAAUGAAUUGACGG